UAAGAAAUAUAAUCUCACUAAACGUACAUAUAAUAUAGUGGGCGCCGUAUUUUUCCAUUUUAUAAAUAGGGAUGUAAAGAACGUUGAUGCCGGAGAAAGAUUAAAGUUAAAUGCAGUAUGCCUACAUCCCUCUUUUAGCCCCAUUUCUUCGCUGUCGUUCGAUGGCUCGAUUAGCGCACGAUGCAAUGUGAGUUGCAAGAUGCUCGUUUGAGUGAUAGGUUUCUUCCAACUCGGUUCUGUUGUUUUCCUCGUCGUUGAUUACCUGUCUCUUAAUUUUGACUGUUCUUGCUGUUCUAUUCAAUGGUGCCUCACGUCUUCACUGGAUAUUCAUCUCUAGCCAGUGAACCGGUCAGGGACAAUCUGUCGACCGAAUUCGUCGGCCAACGAUCCCACGUACUCCGGUGUGUACUUAGAUCGAUGAUCUUCUAUUCUCCGUAGAAAUUACUGACAAAUAGUGAAAUCUCAUCGUUUCCAGUGUUAUGAUGCCGAAGUAUUGAGAGGUUGUUUUCGCGAGACCAGCGACGACUGACGAGCCAUGCGAUGCUACAGUACGCGUUAACCACGUCCAGUACUAUUCGAUCGUAAGCGCCAAAGCCGAUAGCGGCGAAACCGAAAUACGAGGGAUCGUUAUCAGAUUUAUCAUCAUGGUUCCGACAAAAUGCCUCAAGCAUCUCAACGAGACGUUCGUGCAACGGAAUAGCGAAAGCGGAAUGGAACCGAGUUUCUACGAGCCUAACGAUAUACGUGGCUGCUUUAAGUGUGCGAGGGAAAUUAAGAUAUACCAUGCUAUUCGUCGGACCUCGCCGCCAUCUUUAGGUCAUCUGGAAUCGAACUAGACGGACGGACGACGCGUAUGAUCACGGAGCGUGAACAGAUCUGUUUCACAGUUACUUUUAGGAAGGUAACCUUCAAGCAGAUAUCGUGGCCCUAUAAAAUCGUGACGGCCUAUUGCGACUAGAUACUAGUGGCGUCAUCUAGGCUGAACCUGACGAAGGUACCCCUAUGCUAAGCUUAUCCUUGGAGUCAAGCAGUUGCAACGUGCCGAAAGCAUCAUCCGGCUUAAGGAGCCUGUCGGACGCUUCUAACUCUAAAAUCUCACGAAUGUCUGGAACCGGCUCCUUAACGUCCUUACAAGCUUUUCAGAAAGGAGUGGCGAGUAGAAGUAAGGCAACUCCAAUCUGCUGUUAGAACCCUGCGCGAUACCCUGCCUGUGGUCGACAACUCAGUGAGCCCUACGUCGAGUCCAUUCAGGUGAUACCAGAACAGGAACAACGUUGGAUCUAUGACAUUUGGAGCGUGCCCUUUAGAAUACGAAGACAGCUACAGUUAACAACUGAAAUUCUAUGGGCGCAAAUUUACACCGAUAAAUCUACUCCGAGUCCGCCGGUGCUCUCGAAACGAAGGCCAUUUUAUCAAAACUUGUAGGUCGUCUCCACAGCUCAAGCUGACUCUAGCUCUCAGCUGAGUUUAACUACAUAAGUGGUAUAGGAUAUAGCUUGUGAGCUAAAGGUGCAAGAACGAUCAAUUCCUGUAUGUUGAAUUAUGUCUUUAAUAAAUAGACAUUAUACAGACAACUAUUCAGGGUCGUGAAAUGCUUAUAUACUAAGAUAUCAAUCGAGUUAUAAUACCGAACGUAAAUUCUCGUAUCUAUGUAAUGUUGGUAGGCUUAAUCUAAAGUGUCGACAUCUUUUCAUAUAUGACGAACUCUCCCUAUACAUAUACAAAUUGGAUCGACUAUUGCAUAUCAGAUUGUCAGAAGGUGACGCCAUUUUUAACCUCGUAUGGUCUACCUGUGAGUAUUACAAACGAGACAGGCAAUGCGUCGGUUUCUAGUGUGUCGCAACGUAAUUUCGAUGGUUACUAUUUGCUGCUGAGUUGGAACGAGGAUUUCGACUCGCGUUCAUAAUGUCUAAUGUAUGAUAUUGUAUCGACCUGGCUAAUAAACAAUACUCGGUGUAGCCUUUUUUGGAGAUUGAUCAUUGAAUCGAGGCCGGCCCGAUUCUGGCCAGCUUGCCGUUGUUAAAUGCCUGAGUUCAAUAAGCACGACCCAGGCCGCUGGCAGUCCCAGUGCACAUAUGUAUAAAGUUCGCCAUAUAACCUGCAGUCCAUGCCCCAUCAACAUGCAUAGAAAAUGCAUACGGUGAAAUGAAAAACAAGACCCGCACGACGCAGCGGGAUAGCUACAAUUGUUGGCUUGUUUAUAUUGUGCUUGUUGUCACCGGAGCGAUGGGUAUUACUUGACGCAUUUAGAACCCAAACAAGACAAAAGCACAUAAACCAGACCUUUGUCGGCUUAGUAAAAGGCCAUAAUGCUAUACGAUAUAGUAUCGCGCACGAAUACAGUUUUGUUGCGUGCAUGUGGGAGAGGCAAAGCAAAAGGCAUUGAGUUAUUAUGCAAACAAACUAAAAUGUCAACUUACUCGCAGCCAUAUUCGCCUGUCCGCUAUUCAGGCUCAACCGUCUAACGAAACACUUCACGAUGUCAAUGCUGUCGUUGGCUGGGGUCUAACCGUCCGUGAUGGAUGGCGUCUAUCAAGAAGAGUUAAUGUGGCUUGGCCGUCAUUGUUUUAAUUAGUUCUUCUUGAAGUCUCUUUAUUUAUUCCUCGUUUGAAAACGUAACGCGGGAAGCUGAUGAUGCGUCUAAUUUGAGAUUAAAUCGGGACGCAAACUCGAAUUACCAUCUCUGAGUGUUUAUACUUGCCCUUUUCCUUAGCAAAAUUCUACAGAUAUCUAGAUUCAUGUACAGGAUCGGGCGAGGCGAGAGAUAACUGAUACUCUGGUUGAAUUAAAGCGGCAAGCUAUCUCAGCGAAACGAUAGCAGAAGCUGAAAGAGACGAUUUUUUAUCCAAGGAAUACCAUAAUUUCCUAUUUGUCCCUGUGCCUGGCAGAAGGGGCGGUUAAUUAGAGUAAAAAGCGAAUCUAUUCGCUCACUUUCUUUCCUUUAACAAGAGUGCAUCACAUUUAGAUUGGCAUGUUAACAUAUCGCUUGUAUCAAAAACGGUCUCCAUAGGGCAAAAGUUGCCACUUAGAACGAUAGAAACCUCUACCGUGUUUCACAAAAGUAACCAGAGUUGAUCGCCAAAAUGGUCAAAUGACCAAUUUUGUCAAAGUGUUGCUAAUGUAUCGUGUGAAUGCAACAAACUAUCUGCGGCAUUGAAACAUACUUUCGACAGACGACGAUGUUUGUAGAAUGUUAAACUUUUAAAUAAAAAUCAUUUAUUGGUCAAAAGGUAGCGGAGAAUUCUUUACUCUACGAGCUGCUAAGAAACUGACCGAUCCAAGAUCUCUUAUGUGCUCAACGGAUCGAUAUAAUCCUAAUCCUAGAAAAAAAAAAACAAAAUCUAUAAAAAUCUUACAAAAGAAACUGCUCGAUGUCAUCUUCAUGAUGUAAUCUGCUGACAUAUAAACUAGUGCGUAAAUCUUCACUAUUUUCUAUACC